CUCUGAUAAAGUAGCCAAAGGAGAUUUGCUGCUCACUUGUGUAUGGCCCUGAGAAUAUUUAUCCUUCAGUGUGGAGGGAUCGUGGAAAUCCUAACAACCAAUGAAGAACCAGAAGCAAAUAAGAGCCAUGUCGGACGCAAGGAAAAUGUAGAAAAUCGCUUGGCCAAUUCGACAGAAACUCUUACAGAUUUUUUAAAAGAUUGGCUUCUAGGGUUUCUAAAAAAAUUUUUUUUUAUUUUCCUCUGUCUUCUUAAUCACUUUUUCACAGAAUAUGUUACUUUCAUUCCAUCUGUGAAAAAGAGUCUAUGAGUGAAUAAGUCUAGGUAACACUGUUUCCUAUAUCAUCUCUUUGAACAUUACUAUUUGCAACCACAUAUGAAAAAUUCCAUGAAAGUGUGAUAUUAAAUAAACAGAUUUAAACUUCACAUCCCGG
rnacentral:lncRNA from 1 species